UACGAAGGGGGCUAGCGUUGCUCGGAAUCACUGGGCGUAAAGCGCACGUAGGCGGACUGUUAAGUCGGUGGUGAAAUCCUGGAGCUCAACUCCAGAACUGCCUUCGAUACUGAGAGUCUCGAGUCCGGGAGAGGUGAGUGGAACUGCGAGUGUAGAGGUGAAAUUCGUAGAUAUUCGCAAGAACACCAGUGGCGAAGGCGGCUCACUGGCCCGGUACUGACGCUGAGGUGCGAAAGCGUGGGGAGCAAACAGG
rnacentral:rRNA from 1 species